rnacentral:rRNA from 1 species
GACGAACGCUGGCGGCGUGCUUAACACAUGCAAGUCGAACGAUGAAGAAGAGAAACGCGGACUUCGGUUCAAAUUUCACUUCGGAUUAGUGGCAGACGGGUGAGUAACGCGUGAGCAACCUACCUCUUACAAAGGGAUAGCCUCGGGAAACCGUGAUUAAUACCAUAUGACACAUUCAUAAGGCAUCUUAAGAAUGUUAAAGCUACGGCGGUAAGAGAUGGGCUCGCGUCCCAUUAGCUAGUUGGUGAGGUAACGGCCCACCAAGGCGACGAUGGGUAACCGGCCUGAGAGGGUGAACGGUCACAUUGGAACUGAGACACGGUCCAAGCUCCUACGGGAGGCAGCAGUGGGGAAUAUUGCACAAUGGAGGGAACUCUGAUGCAGCGACGCCGCGUGAGCGAUGAAGGAAUUCGUUUCGUAAAGCUCUGUUCUAUGGGAAGAAAAGGACUGUACCAUAGGAGAAAGCCCCGGCUAAAUACGUG